GGCGGCGUGCUUAACACAUGCAAGUCGAGCGGAAAGGCCCUUCGGGGUACUCGAGCGGCGAACGGGUGAGUAACACGUGAGUAACCUGCCCCAGACUUUGGGAUAACCCUCGGAAACGGGGGCUAAUACCGGAUAUGACCUUCGGCCGCAUGGUUGUUGGUGGAAAGUUUUUCGGUUUGGGAUGGGCUCGCGGCCUAUCAGCUUGUUGGUGGGGUGAUGGCCUACCAAGGCGACGACGGGUAGCCGGCCUGAGAGGGCGACCGGCCACACUGGGACUGAGACACGGCCCAGACUCCUACGGGAGGCAGCAGUGGGGAAUAUUGCACAAUGGGCGGAAGCGUGAUGCAGCGACGCCGCGUGAGGGAUGACGGCCUUCGGGUUGUAAACCUCUUUCAGCAGGGACGAAGCGUAAGUGACGGUACCUGCAGAAGAAGCGCCGGCCAACUACGUGCCAGCAGCCGCGGUAAGACGUAGGGCGCGAGCGUUGUCCGGAUUUAUUGGGCGUAAAGAGCUCGUAGGCGGCUUGUCGCGUCGUCUGUGAAAACUUGGGGCUCAACCCCAAGCUUGCAGUCGAUACGGGCAGGCUAGAGUUCGGUAGGGGAGACUGGAAUUCCUGGUGUAGCGGUGAAAUGCGCAGAUAUCAGGAGGAACACCGGUGGCGAAGGCGGGUCUCUGGGCCGAUACUGACGCUGAGGAGCGAAAGCGUGGGGAGCGAACAGGAUUAGAUACCCUGGUAGUCCACGCUGUAAACGUUGGGCGCUAGGUGUGGGGGACCUCUCCGGUCUUCUGCGCCGCAGCUAACGCAUUAAGCGCCCCGCCUGGGGAGUACGGCCGC
rnacentral:rRNA from 1 species